GCCGGACCUCUGUCAGCGUCUCCAGGGAUCUUACAGAUGGCCGACAGGUUAUAGGAGAAAGUGUUGCAGCAGCGCUCAGAUCUGUGAGCAAAGGCUCAAUCCAACGGGCUCCCUUCCGCAGGACGGCUCGAGGCCUUACCAAGCUGCCCGCAGGCUAAUGGCUGCCAAGUCGCACGGCCACCACCGCAUCUCUCCUGAUGGCCCAGCUGCCUCCUGGACACAGGCGUUGGCAACUCAUUGCCACCUUCCGCCCCAGGCCCAUCCCAGCUCCUGGAUGUCCUGCCUCACCAUCUCCCCAGGAGCUGAGGGGCGCUCCCGGGGCGCAGAAGCCAAGCGCUCGCGGACGUGAUGGCCCAGCUGCUCCAAAGCAUCACGAGAGCAGGCGAGACGACGAUGGCGGCGUCUAAACACGGGCGUGCGUUUACAAGAUAAC